UGCACCUUGAUGGUGGUGGUUACAGGAAGCUACCUGGGGGUUAAAAUUGCAUAGACGUACGCGUGUGCGCAUACACACACACACACACACACACAGGUGCAAUCUGAAUAAGCUCCGUGGAUUACAGCAAUGUCAAGUUUAUAGAAUUGUUUUUGUAUGGUAAUUGUGCAAGAUGCCACCUUUGGGGAGGACAGGCGAAGGGUAUGAGUUUUUGUGGGUCUGUAGCUAUUUCAAAAUAAAAAGUUGAACGAGGCCAGGCAUGGUGGCUCACGCCUGUAGUCCCAGCACUUUGGGAGGCCGAGGCAAGUGGAUCAUGAGGUCAGGAGAUCGAAACCAUCCUGGCUAAUGUGGUGAAACCCUGUCUCUACUAAAAAUACAAAAAAUUAGCUGGGCAUGGUGGCGUGUGCCUGUUGUCCCAGCUACUUGGGAGGCUGAGGCAGGAGAAUCUCUUGAACCAGGUAGCAGAAGGUAGCAGUGAGCUCAGAUGGUACCACUGUAUUCCAGCCUGGGCAACAGAACAAGACUCUGUCUCAAAAAAAAAAAAAAAAAGUUGAAUGAAUGUGAAAGUCUGCACCGAUGACCUUUUUUCUAUAACCUUACUUGCUUGAAUCGAUCGAAUUUUGGACAUGAAAGCAGGCUCAGACCUAGUUAUUUAUAGGUAGAAAGAGGACUAACCAGAAAUAUUGGGCAUCAGAACCUGGCUACUUUUAUUUUGAGAUGGAGUCUUGCUCUGUCACCAGGCUGGAGUGCAGUGGCGCCAUCUCAGUUAACUGCAUCUCCGCCUCCAGUGAUCAAGUGAUUCCCCUGCCUCAGCCUCCUGAGUAGCUGGGACUGCAGGUACGUGCCACAACACCCAGCUAAUUUUUUUUUUCUCAUAUUUUUGGUAGAGACGGGGUUUUACCAUGUUGGCCAGGAUGGUCUUGAUUUCCUAACCUCAUGAUCCACGUGCCUCAACCUCCCAAAGUGCUGGGAUUACAGGCGUGAGCCACUGCGCCCGGCCCAGAACCUGGCUACCUUAACUGUGGUUCAUGGGCCAGCAGCAUUGGCAUCGCCUGGGAGCUUCUCCCAAAUGCAGGAUCUCAGGCCCCUGAGAAUCUGCAUUUUAAGGUCCUGAGAUGAUUUGCAUGUGCAUUUAGGUUUCAGGAGCUCUGGAACUUUUCUUAGAGUAGAAAUUCAGUUUGGUGGUCAAAGAUGCAGGCUUAGGUUGCUUACCUGAUCCUGGACAAGUCCCAUGAUCUUUCGAUCUUCAGUUUCCUUUAGAUCCCCGUCUAGAAAACGGGAGGCUUAUUAUGAAGACGAUAACACCUCAUAGAGGUUCUAGGCAGAAUUAACGCUAAGUUACAUAGAAAGUGUGUGUGCCAUAAUAGACACUUGGUAAACAGAGCUGUUGUUUCUACGGGCGAAUGAAUCUCCAGAUGGUUUUCCAGUACUGCUAGUUCCAUUUUAGUCAAGGGGAAAGUGGAAGCAAAGUGAAUGUUUGACCAAAGAGGAGUAGCUAAGAAAACAGCACGUCCACAUGGUGAGGCCUCUUUUUUAACUGUUAAAAGUGACAGCUGGUGUGGUAGGGAGAAGCCCAGAAGGGGGCAGAGGAGGGUGCUGGGGCUUCUGGUGCGUCUUGUGGGCACCUCUGAUGACGCGAGGGUGGAAGUGGAACAGAAACCUAUUGCAGGUGGGAGGAGAAUCAGAAGCGGCAUAAGGAGAAUGUUUCAAGGACAGGAGGAAGCUCGUUGUGCCAGGGAUGGUCACAAACCUUUCCCUUUCCUUUUUUUUGAAAUGGAAUCGUGCUCUGUCGCCCAGGCUGGAGUACAAUGGUGCAGUCUUGGCUCACUGCAGUCUCAGCUCACUGGGGUACAGUGGUGCAGUCUUGGCUCACUGCAGUCUCAGCUCACUGGGGUACAGUGGUGCAGUCUUGGCGACCUCUGCCUCCUGGGCUCAGGUGAUUCUCCUGCCUCAGCCUUCCCAGUAGCUGGGAAUAUAGGCACUUGCCACCACACUAAUUUUUGUAUUUUUAGUAGAGAAAGGGUUUCACCAUGUUGGCCGGGCUUGUCUCGAACUCCUGACUUGAAGUGAACCACCUACCUCGGCCUCCCAAAGUGCUGGGAUUAUAGGCGCCCACCACCACGCCUGGCUAAUUUUUGUAUUUUUAGUAGAGAAUGGUUUCACCAUGUUGGCCACGCUGGUCUCGAACUCCUGACCUCUGGCGAUUUGCUCGGCCUCCCAAAGUGCUGGGAUUACAGGCAUGAGCCACCUGGCCGGCCGCCUUUUCUCUUUUCUUCAGCGUUUCCCUUGAAUACCAGUUACUGCAGAGACCCCUGGAGUCGGGGCCUAUCCUGGGUCUUGGAGCGACUGAUUGUGUCCAGUGUUGGGCUGUGCGUAGGCAGCCGUGGUGGAUUCCCAGGUUCUCCCCAGAGCUGCUUCCCUUUAACUCUGACAAGGCAGCCAUCCAAAGGUCCUCGCCUGCUCCCCUUGUAGCGGGAGGGUCAGUCUGUAUCAUUUCCUUCUAGACUUUGCAGCUUUUGUAUUUUAAAACUCGAGGGACAAUAGUCAUCUCCUAAAAAUAGCAGCAGUGACAUAGCUCUGCAGUCAGUUUUGCUGGCACUGGGAAUUCAGCUUUUGUCUCUGGUGUUAGAUAAGGGGCAGGUUUCUAGAUAAUGAAUUCCAUGUACAGUAGAGCAAGGUUCAGUUGACCUCACUGGAGACCUUGAGCCCGGCUUACUGAACUUCGGGGUCCUUUAGUCAUCUCCCAGCUGACCUCCACGCUUUGGAGGGUCCAGGUCUUUGGGGGACGUGCUUCCUUGGAAGCACAAAGGCCCUAGGUACAUAAGAGUUGUGUUUGAGGAAGCUGGCACGGGCUGUGAUGGCCCCUGAGGAGCGGGGGGAAGGGGCAGUGCCUUGUCACCUGUAUGUCCUUUGUUGAAGAGCGAACUGCACCAGGCCAUCUCUGAGGUCAUUCUCACACCGUGAUGCGGGGAAGGACACUUUCAGCUGGAAGUACAGGCCCUACAGGCGAUCAGCUCAUUCUGGUUUGCCUGGGACUUUCCAGUUUUUUGAUUUCAGCACUGAAAAUCCUGCAUCCUGGGAAACCCCUCUGUCCCCAGCAAACUGGGAUGGUUAGUCACCCGACCUAUGAACAAGGCCCCCUUAGGUUGAGGCUGCAUGCAGAGUGUUGCCUAAGAGAAGCUCAAGGACCCACCAACCGCAGAAUUUCUCUUUUAGCACUAUCUGGCCCCUGACUUUGGAGGAAAGCAGGGUGCUAAGUUGCAUUAUCUGGAAGGAAGCACUGGACUAAGCUUAGCCCCUUCUACUGGGUUCUUUUAUCACACAAGAAGGCCAUCACCCAGCCAGGGGUAGGGCCCGCACGGGGACACAGGACAGAUAGAUCUUCUUGGGGGGAUUCUGGGAGAUAGGAGAGCCACUGACCAGAGAGGGCCUGUGGGGUGGAUUGGAGUUGGGGAAAAGUAGAUCAAAUACAUUUCUUGAAAAAAUUCACUUACUUAAAAUACACUAGGGAAGCUAUGGCCAAUUUCUUUUUAAUAGAAAUAAUCAUUUUUAAAUUUUCUCAAGUGUAAACAAAUCUGAACCACUGGGUCCAUUUGUGAGGCACAAGUGUAUUGAGUUAAUUUUUCUUUUCUUUUCUUUUUCUUUCUUUCUUUUUUUUUUAAGAGAUGGGGGUUUUACCCAUUGAUGUCAGGCUGGUCUUGAACUCCUGACCUCACGUGAUCCACCCGCCUCGGCCUCCCAAAGUGCUGGGAUUACAGGCGUGAGCCACUGAGCCCGGCCAAGUUAAUUUUUCAAAACCCCAAACCUAUCUCAUUUGUUAGAGUUAGUGACUUACAGUGAUUCUACUAAUAAUUGUAUUGGGUCUAAGAAUAAUUAAGAUACUCUUGGCUGGGCGCAGUGGCUCAUGCCUGCAAUCCCUCAGCGCUUUAGGGUGCUGAGGUGGGUGGAUUGCCUGAGCCCAGGAGUUCAAAACCGGCCUGGGCAAGAUAACAAAACCCCAUCUCUAUAAAAAAAUACAAACAUUUGCUGGUCAUAGUGGCAUGCACCUGUAAUUCCAGCCACACAGGAGGCUGACAUUGCAGAGUCACCUGAGCCCGGGAAGUCCAGGCUGCAGUGACCCAUUGUACUCUAGUCUGGGCGAGGGAAGUGAUAGUGUUUCCAAAAAAAAAGUCUCAGUUUUUUUUUUUAUUCAAUAAUUUUAAUCUGGUAGAGGGACCUUGAAAAUACUUAAAUGUGGCUGGGCGCGGUGGUUUAUGCCUGUAAUCCAAGCACUUUGGAGGCCAAGGCGGGCAGAUCACCUGAGGUCAGGAGUUCAAGACCAGCCUGACCAACAUGGUGAAACCCGUCUUUAAAAAAAUAAAAAUUUAAAAAAUUAAAAAAAAAAAGAAAAUACUUAAAUGCUCAUAUGAUUCUUACGGAUUGGUUUGGGUGUGUGAAUUCUAACACAGACAGCAAGGCUGUGUUUCCUAUAGUAGCACCCAACAAGCCUGUUAAAUAAUGUAUUUUUCUGGAAAAGAGUAGAUUUUCCUGAACUUUAUUAAAACACAGUAUCGGGUGCUGAAGGGAUAAUUUUGAGAUUCUGUAUUUUUCCACUUACAGAAGAGGUAUGGAGUUUUUUAAAAUUUCUGAAUGGAACUACUUGGGCAUAACUUUGAAAAAGUCACUUUCACUCAAAAAAUCCCAGGGUCUUUACCUGGAAAAUUAAUUGAUGCACCUAUAAAUAAUUUCCAGCGCUAAAAAUUGAUGGAAUUCUAUCUUGUGAUUUUACAAAAUUAAAUGAGUAGAAUUAAAUGAUUAAAAUACAGUAGUCAUGGGAUUACUAGGAACAGAGAUUCUUUUUUAAAGAAACCUAAAGAAGAACGUCAAAGUAGUGGGAAAUCCCCAAAAAGCAGAAAAAGAAGUCAUUUGCAAGGGAAAGUGAAGGAAAAGGAACCUUUUAAAUAGCAGCUGUAUUGAUAUAGAAUUCACAUCCUGGACGAUUCAACUGUUUAAUGUCUACAAAUCAGUAGUUUUUAGUAUCUUCACAGAUUUGUGCAAUUAUCCCCACGGUUAAUUUCAGAACGUUUUCAUCAAUUCAAAAAGAACUGUGUACCUUUCAGCUUUUACCCUCUAGUCCCCACCUGCUGUAGACCUAAGCAACCAUUAGUCUACUCUGUGUGCCUAUUUACAUGAUUUAUGGGAGGAUUUUUUUUCUUUUUUUUUUUUUAUUGCAUUUUAGGUUUUGGGGUACAUGUGAAGAACAUGCAAGAUAGUUGCAUAGGUACACACGCGGCAGUGUGAUGUGCUGCCUUCCUCCCCUUCACCUAUAUCUGGCAUUUCUCCCCAUGCUAUCUCUCCCCAACUCCCCACCCCCCACUGUCCCUCCCCUAUUUCCCCCAACAGAACCCAGUGUGUAGUGCUCCCCGCCCUGUGUCCAUGUGUUCUCAUUGUUCAACACCCGCCUAUGAGUGAAAACAUGCAGGAGGAUUUUUAUGAAAGAACUAGAUCCUUGUAACUUUAUGUCACCCUAUCUUGACAAUUUCCUCAGUGAGUGAGUAGGGCAUUCACCCCCCAACCAGGAGUUCCUGGCUGCCACAUACAAGACAUAUGUAGGCUUUGUCUGCAAGACUCUCACCAUAAAUUACGUGUCAAUUACAGUGGAGGAUGAGGGGCUGGGAUUUUAAAGGGUGCAAAGCUCUAAGUCUGACUCAUUCCAUGUUGAGCGUUGGGCCGCACUGUCCUCUCCCUGUCGCUGCAGAGGUCCUCAGAGUGUGGUCCCCACCCAGUGUGACCUGGGACCUCACCCUACGCCCCUUGGAUCCCAGGCGCUGGGGCAGCAUCAGCACUCCGUGUUCAGCAAACCCUCCAGUGGCUUCUGUUGUCUGCUCACCUUUGAGCACAGUGGAUGGGCUGCUUUUAGGACAUUGUCUGUUUUGAAGUUUCUUACACCCACCGCCCGCCACCCCACCAGGUUUUUGCUUUCCACUUCAGCUCGUCCUGCAUUCUCUUCUGAAGGGAAGGUUGCAGUGGGUUUCUCUCGGUGGUCUUGUCUGCUCCCUCCCUCUCUUUUCUUGCUCCUGCCUCGGUGGGAUCUGGGGGGAGCAGCUCUGCGGAGAGUAGGCUAGUUGUCUUUGCCCUUGGUGGGGUGUCCGGGGGCUUGGGAGGGGCUCGGGAAUGGACAGAUGCUGACGGACAUCUGCUUCUGCCAGUGGCUUUAGUCCGGACUCGCCCUGGACCAGGUCUUGUCAGUGGUCUCCUCCCACUGCUUCCUCCGUCCUUCCCUCUUUGCUGCCUCCUCCCUCUUUCCCUUCUUUUCAUGAACAUAUUUAGAUCCUCCUGUCAUAAAAACAAAAACAACCCAAAACCCCAAACUCACUUGCCAGUGGGUUGGGCUCCGGCAGGUCCUCAAAGUCUUCUGCUUCCCAAGGCCAAAGGCUGCCAGCCGGUGGGUCCCAUGUCCUCAUCCUGCCUCCAGCCUUGGAGUGGCUGCUUCUGCCCUUGCCAGCCCAGGGCUCCUGCCUUCUAGGCUGCUUGUCCUCAGUGUGUGCUUUAUCGGUGGGCAUCAUGAAAGCAUCCGUGCCAGGGGCCUGGCCCUAUCUCUGGAGUCCUCAUCCCACCCACUGAAACUUCUCAUGACCCCGGCAAGGCUGCCGCCUCCUCCCCCAGAGCUUUGGGCACUCUUGUCAGAAUUGGAACAUGACGGCAAACCUGCCUCGGGGGCCGGGAUUCGAGGGCAGAGUCUCAGAUUCCCUCCGCCCCGUGCCUCUCGGCCAGGUGUGCUGGGUGUGCACAGCUUGUUUGAGGCGCAUGGUAGCCUGGCCUCUGGGGUCUCCAACACUGUGGCUCCCAGGAACUGCUCUGCGCCUGGGAUCCUCCCAUGACAGCCUGCACCCUGGACCCGGGAGCCUCUUUCUGCUUCUUUACACUGCUCAUUUGUUGGUCUCCCCUGCAGUUAGGGGAGACGGUCUGGUGUCCCUUCCUUUGCUCCGUGAGGCCCUUCUCAUGGGCUGGCCUCUUUACUCCCUGUCACGGUUAGUUUCACGAGUCAGCUGGGCUAGGCCGCAGCACCCAGGUAUUCCAUCCAGCACUGGUCCAGGCGUUUCUGUGCAGGUAUUUUGUGGCUAUGGCUAACAUCUAAAAUUAGUUGACUUUAAGUCAAGGAGAUUACCCUCUAUAAUUUGGGUGGACCUCAUCCAAUCAACUGAAGAAAAACAGAGGUUUCCGGAGGAGAAGACAUUCUGCCUCAAAGCCGUAGCCUCAGCUCCGGCCUGAGUUUCCAGGCUCCCUGCUGCCCUGUCACUUUGGACUUGCCAGCCCGCACAAUCCGUGAGCCAGUUCCUUAAAAUAAAUCUCUUUAUAUCUGAGUCUCCUCUUGGUUCUGUCUCUCUGGAGAGCCUUGACUAAUGCAUUCCACUAGGAACACUGUCUGCUGGCAGAGCCUCCCCAGGCUCGUGCAGCUGGUGCCAGCUCUCAGCCCUGCACCACUUUCCUGAGAGUCACGUGUGCAUUCAGGCUCACGUGCAGACUUCCUCCUGCCAGGCUUCUCCCAGCUUCUCCUUCUUAACGUGUUCCUGCUGCCUCCAGGGCCAGCUUCCUGGGCAUCCAGCCUGUGCAGUCCACAGGCCUAUGCUUAAAAGGGGCCCAUGUCUGGUGAAACGCUGUGCUGUUACUGUUUUGAAAUUCUUAAUGGUUUUGAAACCGAGCCUGCAUUUUCAUAUUGCACUGGGGAUCCAAAGUACAGAGCCCGUCCUGGCUGCCCCUGCGUUUCUGGCUGCCCAUGUUUACAAUCCUACGGUCAGCCUGGCCUUCCUCAUCUUCUGUAUCCAGUCACUUUCCAAGCAGGGGGAAGUCCACCACGAUGGUCUCCCACACUUCACUGGGGUCUCACUUAAACAAGUGCUGUACCUCACCCCCCACCAAGACUCUCACCAGACUAUUCUGCUGCCGCUUCUAGAUUUAUCUUCAUGUGUGUGGCUUUUUUCUUUUCUUUCUUUCUUUUUUUCUGAGACAGAGUUUUGCUCUUGUUGUUUAGGCUAGCGUGCAGUGGCGCAAUCUCAGCUCACUGCAACCUCCACCUCCAGGGUUCAAGCGAUUCUCCUGCCUCAGCCACCUGAGUAGCUGCAACUACAGGUGUGCGCUACCACGCCCGGCUAAUUUUUUGGUAUUUUUAGUAGAGACGGUGUUUCCCCAUGUUGGCCAGGCUGGUCUUGAACUUCUGACCUCAGGUGAUCUGUCCGCUUCGGGCUCCCAAAGUGCUGGGAUUACAGGUUCAAGCCACCACAUCCGGCCUGUCCCUGCUUUUUGAAUAUGAUUCGGGUACCAUGCCCUGUUGACAGUUAUCUACGUUAUUUUGGAAAUUCUUAAAAAUAGGGCAGAUCUCAGCACUGUGGACGGGUUUCGGUUCCAGUAACCCUUUGCUGUGCAUGGCAAGGUGCUUAGUAGCAUCCCUGGCCCCUGCCUGCUGGAUGCCAGCACCAGUGCCUUCCCCUCUGUGAUGGCCAAAGUUUCCCCUGGGGGGCACAGUCACCCCUGGUUGAAAUCACUGGAAUAGAGAUGGAAAGGAGUAAGAUUGCUGGAGUUAUAAACCUGGGUGCCUUCUUGCCUGGAAGAAUCUGCAGUAUUUGGCACUCUUCGCUGCUCUCUCCUGGCUCUUUCUCACCAAGAGUUUUUUCAGGUGUUUUUCACAGUUAAAGAAUUUAUGUGCUUUGGGGCCAGAUGUGGUGGCUCAUGCCUGUAAUCCCAGAACUUUGGGAGGCCAAGGUGGGCGGAUCACUUGAGGUCAGGGGUUCGAAACCCACCUGGCCAAUAUGGUGAAAUUCACUCUCUACUAAAAAUACAAAACAAUUAGCUGGGCGUGGUAGCACAAACCUGUAAUUCCAGCUACUUGGAAGGCUGAGGCAGGAGAACUAUUUGAACCUAGGAUGUGGAGGUUGCAGUGAGCUGAGAUUGUGCCACUGCACUGCAGCCUGGGCAACGGAGUGAGACUCCAUCUCAAAAAAAAAGAAAAAAGAAUUUACCUACUUUGUUAGGAAAAUUGUAUUUACCAGCUCCUCCACCAUGCACUCCUAUUCUGUAAAAUGGAAAAUACCAUAAUUAGAGUUCCCGGCUCUGUUGUUGUUUGAAUCUUAGCAUUUGACUGGAUUUUCCUCUUGGAGUUGUAAUAGGACAAGGGAGAUUUUAAAAGUGUAAUCCGAGGAGAUUAGCCCCAGGAGGCACAAAACAUCCCUCCGAAGUUCACGGUCGGUCUUUCGAGGACAUCCCAUCACGUUUAUCCAGUGCCCAGUGUGAGCAGUCUAAAGGACAAGUGAGGCCACUGCCACCUGCCUGGUGAAAAUGUAAUUGACAGGAAGUUAAUGAGGGGCAGAGACAACUGUUUUAUGCCUAACAGAACCACGUGACACAUGUUUUACCAAGAAACCAUGCACUUGGCUUUGAUUUUCAAAGUGAUUUUUAUGAACUAAUAACACUUCAAGUAGGCACUUUCUAUGUUGGAAUUCUCCCUUUAAAAAGAACUCUCAGCUGGGGGUGGUGGCUCAAGCACUUUGGGAGUCUGAGGCAGGCUGAUCACUUGAGCUUGGAAGUUAGAGACCAGUCUGGGCAAUAUGGUGAGACCCUUGUCUCUACAAAACAUGCAAAAAUUAGCCAGAUGUGGUGGUGGAUGCCUAUAGUUCCAGCGACUUUGGAGGCUGUGUCAGGAGGAUCAUUUGAGCUGGAGAGUUGAAGCUGCCGUGAGCCAUGAUCAUGCCACUGCACCCAGCCUGGGAGACAGAGCAAGACCCUGUCUCAGAAAAAUAAAAAAAUAAAAAUAAAGUAAAAAGAAACGUCACAAAACAAUUUGGAUUAAAUAUACCUCGAUUCAGUAUGGAGUUGCCUCUUUUUCAGUUUAAUGUAUGUGUUUAUUUAGCAAAUAUUCACUGGACAUGCGUACCUGUGCUAGGCGCUGUUCUAGGGGACAGAAAUGGAGAUUGCUGCUGAAAUAGAGCUUUCGUGACUUUGGGGGAGAGAAACAAUGACAAGCUCAAAUACAUGCACCCCCUACUCAGGGGAGGGAGCAAGCGCUCAGAAGAUGCGAUAAGGCAGGCAGGGAAAGGGCUUUGCAGCACUGGGCUGAUGCUGAAAACGUCUCUCCUUGCCAGGGAAGGAACCUUCGAGGAAAGACCUGGAAGGAAGUGAAAGUCUUGCCAUUUGGAGGUCUAGGAAAGAGCCUUCCAGGCUGGUGGAGCAGGUGGUAGAGCCUGGAAUGUUCUAGAAGAGCCAGGAGGCCAGAGGGGCUAAAGCAGAGCAACGUGGGGAGAGGGCAGGAGAUGAGGUCAGAAUCAACUGAUGCUUAACUCACAAAGAGAAGGGCAGACUCCGGUAAAGAGAGCUGGAGGGGGAGGAAGAAAACCCAACUCCAGGCGUAAGUGAGAGCUUUGCUAGCGUCCUUUUGAAGUUUGGUCCUCUUUCGAGUGGACGAAGUCUUCCAGGGCAGUCUUCUUAGGCACUGGUUGUGCUGAGCUUGCCUCUUACAUUGUGCUUAAUUAGAUCAAUGCCUUUCUCAAAGUUUGUUUAACUGAAUCAACAAGUGUUUUCCUGGAUUCAUGCAGAGCUGGAACCUGAGGUCUCCUAAACAUUGUCCUUGAUGGACAACUCCAUAUUUGGGAUGCUGAUCUGUGGUCCUUCCUUAGCUUAGGGGUUUUAAGUCUGACUUUGAGUCUUGGUGGUCAUUUCCAUUGGUCGAAGGAGUUUAAGCUUGUGAUUAUAUGGGGUCUGUUGAGCGUGUGGCUUUGCUUGUUCAGGUGAAAAGAAACGCACUGAGAAACGCCUGGAUUGGAAAGCACUUCUUGGGUGUUUGUGACUUCUUCUAUGGGCCCCUGAGACGAGGCUGCCCCAAGGCCUGUGUGGCUGGCUAAUAGGUGUGCUGGCGACAUCUGGGUUGUUGCCUUGUCGGGCACCUGUAUGAGAGAUGAGACCCUGGGCUCAGGUGUUCAAUGGGUUGCUAUGCUGGGUGAGGGUGCUGUGCCAACAGGCCUGUGUAAAGCAGAGCUGUGGGCCUAGGGUCCAACAGACAGGACUCACUGCAGGGCACCUCCUCUGUCCUCACCUGAAACAGAUGCAUCCAUCAGUCCUUCGCCCAUCCCAGAGUUUUGGUGAUGGCUUCUCCAUGCUGUGCUUUCCACAGACUGGAGGCCAAGAUAAGAACAAGCCACCGGGCUCUAUCCUCAAAGACCCAGCAAGGGCAACGCAGGCUCUGGUGAAGACCCUGAAUUUUAGGUUCUUGUGGGUCUUGAGAGUUUCUCUGUUGUCUCGCUGCUUGAUGCCAAUUGCAUAGCAUUUCUUUCUUCUGUUAUGUAACACUGAGAAAUAGAGUCAUUGUUUAGGACACGUGAGGAAUUUGUUCCCGAACUCCCCCGUCUAUAGUCUAUACCCAAAUCUGCAUAUACUCAAGUUGCACAUCCGCUUUGUGGAGUCCCUGCAGACAAAGCAUCGGUCCUCCAUAGGUGGAUUUCACUUCCCAAGAUUUGGUUGAAAAAAAUCUACAAGUGGACUCUGACAGUUCCAGGGUUGUUUAAGGGUCAACUGUAACGCAGCCCUGUACGAAGAAGAAAGAAAGCGCUGGUGUUAGUGCCACAGCCCGUGGCUCUUCACUUGAUUGGAAAUCCUUGUGUAGACCUGAUGGACUAUAAGAAUACGACAUGCAUUGGGGUUCUUGUAACUCUGCGUGUGUGUGUGUGUGUGUGUGUACUGCUUUCUUCUCUUUAUUUUCCAUACAGUUUAUAAGAGACAUUUAGACCAACCAACAGUUCUCAUCUGCAGUCUUUUAGUGCUGAACAGGUUUUGCUGUGUGGCCUCUUAAUGCAUAAUUUAGGAAAUUGCUAUUGGUAUCUUGUAGUCAAUAUAAUGGCAGAAGGAUCUUUCCAGUGCAAACACGGCCUUUUCCAAUACAUUUACAUAUCCCAGGAUGUUGCUCAUUUGUUUCCUGGCUUUUAACUUAACGGCACUGCAAAUAUGGGCCUUUCCCAAUACAUUCACAUAUACCGGGGCAUCGUUCGUGUGUUUCCUGCCUUUUAACUCAGCAGCAGUCUUUGCUUAGCUAAGAAGCUGGGAGAAUCUUUUGCCUACUGAAUUUAAAAAAGCAAUGAAGUUGGUGGCAUGUGAAGUUUUCAUUGUGGGAGAUUUUAGUGAUUUCAUUUUAUUUAUUUAUUUAUUUGAGAUGGAAUCUUGCUCUGUCACCCAAGCUCGGGUGCAGUGGUGUGAUCUUGGCUCACUGCAACCUCUGCCUCCUGGGUUCAAGGAAUUCUUACUCCUCAGCCUCGCAAGUAGCUGAGUACAGAUGCCUGCCACCAUGUCUGGCUAAUUUUUGUGCUUUUAGUAGGGAUGGAGUUUCAGCAUGUUGGCCAGCUUGGUCUUGAACUCCUGACCUCAAGUGAUCUGCCUGCCUCCGCUUCCCAAAGUGCUGGGCUUACAGGCGUGAGCCACUGCGCCCAGCGGAUAUGUUCAUUUCUUUAACCUAUGACUUCCUAGUGGACAUUGAGGUUAUUUCUAGUUUGCAAUUUACACAGAGAUUUGCACAUCUUCGUACAACAACCUACUGACUCUUAGGAAAUUGUUAGAUUUUGUUUGGAUCUGUGUAGUAGGUUCUCUUAUUUUUGAAAGUCAAUCUGCCUUUCCCUGGGGUAGGAUUAGACUUCCCUCCCUAUAACAUCAUACUUGACCAUGUCUCGUGCUCUGGCCAAGUCAGUGAGAAGUGACUUGUGUAACUUUUGGCCAGAAGUUUGGAAAUCCAGCAUAUGAUUUGCCUUACCCUUUUCCCCCUCUUCCAGGCAACCCGCAAUUUUCCAGGUAGAGUCUCCCCCAUCAGCCUGAGUCCUGGAAGGGCAAACAAUGUGGGAAAGACCUGCAUGCCAACCAUGUGGCAUGUGCAGGAAGCAGACGUUCGUCACGUGCCACUGGGAUGUGGGGAUUGCUUGUUCUGCUGCACAGCCUAACUUACCCUGACCCACCAAAUGCACAUUUGCCAGUGGCCCCCUAGAGAGUGAACCUGCUUAUGGUCACCACUCGGGCAUUUGAAUAUCGAUGUCCAUCUCUUGUCCUGUCCCUGGCUUGUCACCCUUGACUAGCAUAUUCUGAGGCAGUCUUCACCCCAGUUCCUGUUUUCAUGUUCUAGGAAGAUAAGGCCCCGUACCCUGAGCUGCUUGACCACAUGACUUCUGCUUUAAGCCUGGGGAACCCGAUAGGGUAACCCCCAAGUUCCUGUGGUGAGUCUCAUGCUCCCUUCAAAUUAGCUAAUCCAACUGCACUGUGGGAAACCCAACUAGGUAACCUAGAAGGUCCCACCCACAGGCCCGUCCGUUUCUCUCUUGUUCCCCACCUGCUGAUGGAGGGAGCAGGUCCUGGAUGGGUCCUCCCCUCUUCUCUUUGGGCCUGCCAAGGGUGCUGGCCUCUUCUUUCCAGACCUGUGAGUAGUAGACUUCACUGUUUCAUUUUCUAGUCUAAGUGUCCCGCACUGUGCUGCACCUGACUACAUCAAGCCUCACCACCUCACUUAACAGAUGGUAACACUUCAGCUUCCUAGCGAGGUAGGGGAGUACAUUUCCCUCCAUGCUCUUGCCAACACCAAUUAAUUUGACUCUCUUUACUCUUUUCCAACUUGUCAAGAAAUGAUACUUCACCUUUAUUUGUGUAUUUUUGUUGAUUAGCAAGGCUGAGACAUGUUUCGUAUCACAUGUUUACUAGCCCUUUGUAUUUCUUUCUUUGAACUGCUUUGCCAAUUCCUUUGUCAAGUUUUUGAUUAAUCUGUCUUGUCUUCUUGAGGUCUGAGGAUUUUUUUUUUACAUAUGCUAAAGUUACUAUAUUCGGCCCUUUCGUUCCUUCUUCUUUUCUUUCUUUUCCUUUCUCUCUCUCUCUCUUUUUCUCUUUUCUUUUCCUUUCUUCCGAGACAGAGUUUCACUCUUGUUGCCCAGGCUAGAGUGCAAUGGCGAGAUCUUGGCUCACUGCAACCUCCACCUCCCAGGUUCAAGCGAUUCUCCUGCCUCAGCCUCCCAGGUAGCUGAGAUUACAGGCGCACGCCACCACAACUGGCUAAUUUUUGUAUUUUCAGUAGAGACAGGGUUUCACCAUGUUGGUCAGCCUGGUCUCAAACUCCUGACCUCAGGUGAGUCUCCCACCUCGGCCUCCCAAAAUCGGGAUUAACAGGCAUGAUCCACUGCGCCUGGCCUCUGCCUUCUUUUACCAAUCUGUCAUUUAAAAAAAAUCCUGUUCAAGGUUUAUAGAAUUUCCUGAAUAUGUGGCUCGAUAUCUGUUGUCAGUUUUGAAAAUUCUUUGCCAUUAUCUUGUCAAAUACUGUUUUGUUCCAGUUCCUUUUUCGUCCUAUUCUAUGACACCAAAUUCACACACACCAGACCUUUUACACCAUGCUGCCUGCAUAUUUUAUGCUUUUCUUCCUGUCUUUUAAAUAUUAAAAGAAAUUUUUCUGGGCACUUUUGAUUAAACUUAUCUUUUUUUUUUUGAGACAGAGUUUCGCUCUUGUUACCCAGGCUGGAGUGCAAUGGCACGAUCUCGGCUCACCGCAACCUCCGCCUCCUGGGUUCAGGCAAUUCUCCUGCCUCAGCCUCCUGAGUAGCUGGGAUUACAGGCAUGCACCACCAUGCCCAGCUAAUUUUUUGUAUUUUUUUAGUAGAGAUGAGAUUUCACCAUGUUGACCAGGAUGGUAUCGAUCUCUUGACGUCGUGAUCCACCCGCCUCAGCCUCCCAAAGUGCUGGGAUUACAGGUGUGAGCCACUGCACCCAGCCAGAUUAAACUUAUCUUUUGAUUCACUAAUUGUAUCUUUAUCCUAAUCUACUGUUUAAUUGCUUUUUACAUUCUUAAUUUCAAUUAUGUUGUAUUUCUAAAAUUUUUGUUUGAUUCUAGUUCUCUGAUAAAUUUCUUCGUUUGUUAUUAUUUACUUUCACAUAUUAGUUAUUUUAAAGUCUGAUAAUUGUAAUGUCUGGCUCCUCUGGGGAUGUUUUCUGUUGCCUGUUUUUCUCUUGGCCCUGUCUCCUGAUACAUCUGGUCAGUUUUGGAAAGCUAGACCUUGUGUAUGAAAAUUGAAGUACCACUAGAUUGUGUUAUCUUGUCCAGGGAGUAUUUCAUUUGCUUCUGGCAGACAGAGUGGGACAGAAGAUUACAGUCUAGGCUGUAGUUUUUAUAAGAUCUGGUGUCUUUCUGGCCUGUCUUGUAGGGGAUAGCCCUUUCGGCUUCUUAUAGAAACAUGCCCUGGGCAGACUAUGAAUGUCACUUUUGUGUCCUUAAGCCAGGCUCAUUCCUGUGGCCCUCGGGCUGCAGGAGGCCCAAGAUGGCUUUGAAUGCAGCCCAACACAAAUUCAUAAACUUUCUUAAAAUAUUGUGAGGUGUGUGUGUGUGUGUGUUUUAGCUCCUCAGCCAUUGUUAAUAUUAGUAUAUUGUAUGUGUAGCCCAAGACAGUUCUUCCACUGUGGCCCAGGGAAGCCAAAAGGUUGGAUACCCGUCCCUGCAAACCCUUUGAGAGCCUAACAGACUCUGCUUAAUUCUUCUUACUUUUCACUAGUGCUCAGUGCUUGGUUCCUCAACACCCAGUCUUCGGACUGGGGACAUGCCCUUAGGGAAAGCUCAUCUCAGGACUUCCGCCUUCUUCCCAGGAUACAGUCAGGUUGGCAAGUCCCGGUUGUCUUGGAAACUGGAUGCCUCCAAACGGAUAUCUAGGGGAAAAAAGUAUUCAGUUGUUCUCGGGGGGAUGGUACCUCUGACUGAAGCCAGUUUCUCAGAGCUGAAGUGAGGGUCCCUGUCGUUUGCCUUUUUACUUGGAUUACACUGUUGUUUUGAAGAGAAGUUUUAAAUUUUUGUGUAGUCACAUGUAUCUAUUUCUUUUUUUUUUUUGAGAUGGAGUUUCACUCUUGUUACCCAGGCUGGAGUGCAAUGGCGCGAUCUCGGCUCACCGCAACCUCUGCCUCCCGGGUUCAGGGAAUUCUCCUGCCUCAGCCUCCUGAGUAGCUGGGAUUACAGUGGCCGUCAUCUGGAUGAUCAUGACUCUGGAAAUCUCUGUCCAUCAUCCAUUUUUCGCCUCCUCUGUGAAGGAGCACGUGUGAUGCCUUGAAACUGGAGAGGGAGAAGGCUGAGUGUACCAGGGCAAGCGAAGCGCUUCCUGGAAUUGCGUGUCCCAGGACUCAAGUGAAAUUGCCUUCGCUGACUCAUGGAAAAGUUUGAAAAGAUCAUGUUUCGCCUGUGCCUGGGGGAUCUUAGUCUUUGGCAUAAACCAAACAGAUUGUUCCAGUUCAGAAAAAACUAAGCCAAACCAAAACAACAGCAUGACUUCAUUAUGUACCAGCACCCUUUAAAUUAAUCGUGCUUGCUUUCAUUUUAUUUCCUCAACUUUAAAGUUCUGAGGCACGUGCAGCAUGUGCAGGUUUGUUCCAUAGGCGGUGUGCCAAUGCCAUGGUGGUUUGCUGCACAGAUCAACCCAUCACCUAGGUAUUAAGCCCAGCAUUGCUGAGCCGUUCUUCCUGAUGCUCUCCCUCCCCGACCCCUGACAUGCUCCUGUGUGCAUUCUUCCCCCACUCUGUGUCCAUGUGUUGUCAUCAUUCAGUUCCCACUUGUAAGUGAGAACAUGGAGUGUUUGUUUUUUUGUUCCUGCAUUAGUUUACUGAGGAUAAUGACUUCCAGCGCCAUCCAUGUUCCUGCAAAGGACAUGAUCUUGUUCCUUUUUAUGGCUUCAUAGUAUCCAUGGUAUAUAGGAUUAUGUAGAGAUUGAACCUAUAACUGAUUGGGGUACCUGAAAGACAUGGGAAGCAUGGAACCAAUCUGGAAAACAUUCUUAAGGAAACCAUCUGUGAGAACUUCCCCAGCCUAGCAAGACAGGCCAGUGUUCAAAAUCAGGAAAUGCAGAGAGAACCAGUAAGAUGUCCCAUGAGACAGUCAACCCCGAGACACAUCAUUAUCGGAUUCUCCCAGGCUGAAAUGAAAGAAAAAACGUUAAGGGCAGCCAGAGAGAAAGGCAAGGUUAUUUACAAAGGGAAGCCCAUUAGACUAAAAGUGGAUCUCUAAGCAGAAACACCACAAGCCAGAAGAGAUUGGGGGACAAUAUUCAACAUUCCUAAAGAGAAAAAAUUCCAAGUCAGUUUCAUAUCCACCCAAACUAAGGAUUCAUGAGUGAGGGAGAAAUAAGAUCCUUUUCAGACAAGCAAAUGUGGAGGGAAUUUGUCACAUCAGGCCUGGAUUGCAAGAGCUCCUGAAGGUAGCUCUUAUGGAAAGGAAAAACCAUCAGCAGCCACUGCAGAAACACACUGAAGUCUACAGACAAGUGACACUAUGAAGCAGCAACAUAAACGAGUCUGCAGAUAACCAGCUAGCAUCCUGACGACAGGAUCAAACUCACACAUAGCAAUAUUAACCUUAAACGUAAAUGGGCUGAGUGCCCCAGUUAAAAGACACAGAAGUCAAGACCAUCAGUACGCUUACUUCAAGAGACCCACCUCACUUGCACAGAUGCACAUAGGCUGAAAAUAAAGGGAUGGAGGAAAAUUUACCAAGCAACUGAAAAACAGAAAAAAGCUGGAGCUGCAAUUCUAGUUUCUGACAAAACAGGCUUUAAACCAACAAAGAUCAAAAAAGACGAAGAAGGACAUUACAUAAUGGUAAAGGAUUCAAUUCAAUAAGAAGACCUAACUAUCCUAAAUACAUAUGCAUCCAACACAGAACACCCAGAUUCAUAAAGCAAGUUCUUAGAGACCUACUAAGAGACUUAGACUCCCACACAAUGGGAGUGCGAGACUGUAACACCCCACUGACAAUAUUAGAUCAUCAAGACAGAAAAUUAACGAAUAUUCAGGACCUGAAUCCAGCUCUGGAUCAAGCAGACCUGAUAGAUACCUACAGAAUGCUCCACCCCAAAACUACAGAAUGUACAUUUUUCUCAUCACCACAUGGCACUUACUCUAAAAUUGAUCACAUAAUCAGGAGUAAAACACUCCUCAGCAAAUGCAAAAGAACUGAAAUCAUAACAGUCUCUCAGACAACAACACAAUCUAAUUAUGCUUUGUAAUAUGAACUUCUAGGCCAGGCAUGGUGGCUCAAGCCUGUAAUCCCAGCACUUUGGGAGGCCGAGGCGGGUGGAUCACGAGGUCAAGAGAUCGAGACCAUCCUGGUCAACAUGGUGAAACCCCGUCUCUACUCAAAAUACAAAAAAUUAGCUGGGCAUGGUGGUUCGUGCCUGUAAUCCCAGCUACUCAGGAGGCUGAGGCAGGAGAAUUACCUGAACCCAGGAGGUGGAGGUUGCGGUGAGCCGAGAUCGCGCCAUUGCACUCCCGCCUGGGUAACAAGAGUGAAACUCCGUCUCAAAAAAAAAAAAAAAAAAAGAAAAAUGAACUUCUAAUGCAAGUUGAUUGUAUCUUGUAUGUAUAUGUGAUUCUUGUUUUCGUUUUGGAUUCUGGGUCUUGCCUUGUGUACCAGUACUAGACUUCUUGCUGUGCCCCUUUUCUUGGCAUAUGACUUUGAUAUCCUUUUGAGGGGCCCAAGUCAGAAGCCAAUCACCACUACUUUUUCCUCCCAUCCCCCGCCCCAAUCCAGGUGUCUGUUCUCCAGCUUCCAUCUCUUCUAAGUCUGCUUUCUACUCUCGGCACCUGGAUGCAGCCACCCCAGUUAGUGGUGUCAUCUGUACCUGGUGACUCCUAGGAGGCUUCUGAGGACUUUCUGGCUUCUAGCCUGCCCCUUCUGGCACUCUCAGUGCCUUGUUAUUUUAACCAUAUUUUACAAGGCUUUGUUUUGUUUUUGAGGUGGAGUCUUGCUCUGUUGCCCAGGCUGGAGUCAGGAGGCACAAUCUUGGCUCACUGCAACCUCUGCCUGUCUUCAGGUUCAAGCGAUUCUUUUGCCUCAGCCUCCCAAGUAGCUGGGAUUACAGGCAUGCAUUGCCACACCUGGCUAAUUUUUGUAUUUUUAGUAGAGAUGGGGUUUCACAUGUUGAGCAGUCUGGUCUUGAACACCUGACCUCAGGUGAUCAACCCAGCUCAGCCUCCCAAAGUGCUGGGAUUAUAGCCAUGAGCCAAUGCAUCUGGCCAGGUUUUUUUUUUUUCAACUAAAAAAAAUUUUUAAAUGUUCAGAGACAGAGUCCGACUGUGUUGCACAGACUGGUCUCGGAACUCCUGGGCUCUAACAAUCCUCCCCCCUCAGCCUCUCAAAGUUCUGGGAUUACAGGCAUGAGCCACUACACCUGACCAAUCAUAUUUCGUGUUAAUGAUACUUGGUUAGCCAGGUGUGGUGGCUCAUGCCCAUAAUCUCAACACUUUGAGAGCCUGAGGUGGGUGAAUCGCUGCGGAGUCCAGAAGUGUGAGAACAGCCUGACCAACCUGGAGAAAUACUGUCUUAAAGAAAAGGAAAAGAAAAAUAUACUUUAAAAUCCUGUCUUAAAGAAAAGGAAAAGAAAAAAAUACUUUUUCGAGGUAUAGUUGACAUGUGAUAAAGUACACAAAUUCUAAAUGACAGGCUGUUUGAUUUUGACAAAUAUAUGCACCUGUGCAGUCAUCCCCCUACUCAAGACAUAGAGCAUUUCCAUCACUACAGUAAAUUUCCCCUUGCCCCUUUCUACUCAGUCCCUGUCCUGUGAGAGGCAAAUACCUGUUCAGAUUUCUGUCACCAUGGAUUAGUUUAGCUGGUAUUGAAACUUCAGUGGAAUCACACAGCGUGUGCUCUGGAGCCUGGAUCCUUUCACUCAACAUAAAGGUUUUGGGAUUUAGCCAUGUGGUGCGUACCUCUAGGUUGCUUUUGUUUCUUUCCAUAUUCAACAGCUUUAUUGACCAUUCAUUCAUUAAAGUAUACAACUUGAUAGUUUGAGGCACAUUCCAUUAUUAAGUUUAAAACUUGUGAUGAAAUAUAUAUAACAUAAAACUGUUCAUUUUAACCAUUGUAACCAGUGUACAAUUCAGUGGCAUUUGCAAUGUUGUGCAAACGUUACCACUAUUUCCAAAAUGUUUUUAUCAUCCCUCUCCCCGCAGUUCCUCUUCCUCCUCCUUCCCUUUUUCCCUCAGCCCCUGGCAACCUCUAACCUACCUUCUGUCUUUAUGAAUUUGCCUAUUCUAGAUAUUUGCAUAAAUAGAAUCUUUUUGUAUCUGGGUCAUAUCACUUAGCAUAAUGUUCUCAGUGUUCAUCUAUGUUAUAAAAUGUACAGCAUUUUCCUUUUUCUUUAAAGGUUGAAUAAUGUGCCAUCAUAUGUAUAUACCACAUUUUGCUAAUUCUUUUAUCUGUUGAUGGACAUUUGGGUGUUCCCUAUUUUCACCAUUGUGAAUAAUGUUGUUAUGAACAUGAGUGUACAAAUCUCUGUUCCAGCCUCUGCUUUAAACUCAUUUGGGAAUAUACCUGGGAGUGGAAUUACUGGAUCAUAUGGCAAUUCUACGUUUAGCUUUCUGAGGAACAACCAAACUAUUUUCCACAGUGGCUGCACCACAUUCGACUCUGACCAGCAAUUUACAAGGGUUUCAGUGUCUUCACAUCCUUACCAAACACUUGUUAUUUUCUGUAUAUUGGUGUGUUGUAAAUUGCAGCCAUCUGAAUGGGGUGAAGUGUGUUUUCAUCACCACCACAGGGGUGAAGUGGUUUCUUACUCUGGUUUAGAUGAGCAUUUUUCGUGACUCAGUGACUAAUGAUGUUGAGCAUUUUUUCAUAGCUUUAUUUACCAUUUGUAGAUCUGCGUUGGCAAAGUUGCUUUUUCUGCUAUUGUUACUUCAUUGAGAGACUGCAUACAGUGAAAUGUACAACUCGUAAGGGCAUAGUUCAAUGAAUUUUCACAAACGAAUAUGCACAUGUAAAUAUCACUCAGGUUAAGAUAUCAUUCCAUUACUCCAGAAAGUUCUCUUGUGCCACUUUCUAUAACCCUCUUCACUAUUUUUUAUUACCAUAUACAGUAUUAAUCUUGCCUGUCCUUGGAUUUCAUUAAAUGGACUCAAACAGCACGCACUUCUUGGUGUUUGGGAUAUUUUGUUCAGUGUCAUAUGUGUGAGAUUCACUAGUAUUGCUUCCAGUAUCAGAGUUUUGUCCUUCUUUUGUUGCUCUGUGGUAUCCCAGGGUUGAUUAUAGCAGACUUUGCUUAGCUAGUCUCUUGAUGAAUAUUUGGGUUGUUUGCAAUUUUUGGAUGUUACGGAUAAAGCUGUCCUGAACAUUCUUGUACACGUCUUAAUGUGCAUAUAGACUUGAACGUAUUUUGAGAGUGUGUCUGUGAAUGGAAUUGCUGUGUUAUAAGGUAGACAUGUGUUAAACUUUAAUAGAAACCACCAGUUCCCCAAUGUGGUUCUUCCAUUUUACACUCCCACCUGCUGGGAACAUGAGAGUUCCACACCCUUGCCAACAUUUGGUAUUGUCAGGCUUUUUAAUUUUAGCCAUUCUGGUGGGUGUAUGGUGGUAUCUCAUUGUGCGUUUAAUUUGCAUUUUUCUGUGACUAAUGAUGUCGAGCUCUUUCACUUUUGGAAAAGGUUACAAUUUAAAUUUUGUACAUAAAAAAAAAAUCAAGUUAGAAGACAUGAAUGAACACCUGCGAAAUAGACGUCCCAAAGCCCAGAAUGUCAUGUGGAAGCCACCGCCUUGACAGCUAUGAGUCAGACAGACAGAUGUCAGUUUCAGUUACAUCUUCAAUCACAAAUGGGCUGCCAACUCAGUUUAAAAAGAACAGGGUCGGGGGCAUAUAUAUAUUUAAAGAAUGUUUUGAAAAUAGAAGGAAAUGGCAAGGCUCUCUCCUCCCACACCAGCUCCCACCUGAGAGCCAGAUAUUUAGCAGGAAAAUCUGAUCAUGAUGCUUUCUAAGACCCUGCAUGGUUCCCACCAGCUUUGGAUGCCGUUCAGCCUGCUCAGCCCUCUGUAGGAACCCGUCAUGACCCAGAAUUCCCCACUUGUCAGCUCCACGCCUUUGCACACGCUUGCCUCCCCGCUUGGGACACGGUCCCCACCCUCCCUGGCACUGUGGACCUCCUGCUGUUUGGCUAUGAGGCUCAGCCUGGCUGGGUGCCAACUCCUCCCAGCCUGGGCCAGCUGCCAGUCGUCUGUGCUCUCACUGUCCCCUGGGCCGAGCCUGGCAUUGUCAUUGUUUACAUCUCCACCUCCUUCCCCAGACUGAAUGUCCUGAGCGGAGGAACUCACAUUUCAGCGGAUCUUUGUAUUUUCAGCACCCAGCCAGGGGCCAGUAAGCCUGCUGGAUGGUGAAUAAGUAAGUGCUCAUGGGUGCUGAUGACAGCCAGCUGAAGGCUGUGCAGCCCUCCUCCCUGCGGGGCAUGCUCUCCGUGGAUGUGCUGGUUUAGUCACACAUUUUAAGUGUGACCACACCUAUAUAUGCCUAAAUCUGUAAGACAAAGUACAAGCCACAGUAUCUAGAGAUCUGUCCUUCUCCUUUUGGUCACUCCACCUCAGCCUAUGUAUGGCAAGGAGCUGCCAUGUGCCCCCCAUGGGGCCAGGGAUGAUUCUUGGGUGGAGCACCCAGAGCUGGUGCAGAUGAGAACAAGACCAGUUAGGGGACGCAUGGGGAAGUGCUGUAGGCACUGAGGCCAGAACUAGGGAAGAAUUUGUUUGGAUUUGUGUAUAGCAGAGACUGGGUGGGGCAAGAAGGAGGGUGCAUUUCCCCUCUGAAAGAAAGCCAAUCAAAUAAAAAUGAACAAGAACACAAGCUGAGCUCUGUGUCCUGUGUUCCUAAAUGGUGACUGAGCAGCCUGGGCGUCUGCGUGUAGAGGUCACACCAUCACUGCCCAUCCUGGAGCGUCAGCAUAGCGUGCUCACACUUUACGUCCUACAGACAAAAGUAAUUGCUGGCUCCCAGCCAGGAGCCCGGGCUGAGGCCUGAGAUUCUGCAUUUCUAACACGUUCCCAGGUGAUACUGAUGCCGUCGGUCCUGGGUCUGUACUAUGUGGGGCUAGAGUCAAACCUGCGCCCAGCAGAAAAUGGUAAACAGGUGGUUCGGCUCAAUCAUUAGCCAGGUUGUUAAUUCUGCAUCCAUCGGGUUGGGUUGUACUAAAUUGUGCCAGAUUUUUGUGAGGCAGGAGUAGUAUUUGUGCAUGACAGGCCCCAUAUUUGGAAAACAUUGCCUCGAAAACGGUUGGAGAGUUUUAUUUCUCCUGAGUAGACCAUGCUGUCGCCUGAGAGCCUGACGCAGAGCAGCGGGCUGGGAGCCUCCAGAGCGGGAACCGCUAGACAGAAAAAAGGGUUUCGAAUCUUUGAGUCUUAAAUGAGUGAACAAUUUAGACUCCUUUUUUGAAAUUUCAUGCAACGUUUGGCAAGGAACUUAUAAAGCUGAUCAUAGUCUAUAGAUCCUGAAAGGCCCAAUUUGCUUUUCAUUGAUUGCUUGUCAUUUUUUUUUUUUUUUUGACAGUGUUUCAGUCUGUCACCCAGGUUGGAGUGCAGUGGCGUGAUCACAGCUCACUGCAGCCUUGACCUCCCAAACUCAAGCGAUCCUCCUGCCUCAGCCUUUAGAGUCACUGGGACUGCAGGUGCGCCCCACCACACCUGGCUAAUUUUGUAUUUUUAGUAGAGACGGGGUUUCGCCAUGUUGGCCAGGCAGGUCUCAAACUUCUGACCUCAUGAUCCACCCACCUCAGCCUCCCAAAGUGCUGGGAUUACAGAUAUGAGCCACUGCAACUGGCUUUAUUUUUUUAUUUUUGUUUUUCAGACACAGCCUUUCUCUGCUGCCCAGGCUGGAAUGCAGUGGUACAAUCUCAGCUCACUGCAACCUCUACUUCCUGGGUUCAAGUGAUUCUCCUGCCUCGGCCUCCCAAGUAGCUGGGACUACAGCAUGCACCACCAUACCUGGCUAAUUUUUGUAUUUUUUGGUAGAGAUGGGGUUUCACUCUGUUGACCAGGCUGGCUUCAAACCCCUGACCUCAAGCGAUCUGCUCACAUCAGCCUUCCAAAGUUCUGGGAUUCCAGGUGUGAGUCAUUGUGCCCGGCCAAAAGAGAACAUUUCUGAGAAAAAUGUAGCACUCUCAUGAUGUCUUCCGGGAAUAUAGUGAAGCCAGAGAGGAAUUUUCUUAGCUGAUUUGUGGCAUUAAUUAUAUCUUAAUCUAGCUGCACCUAACAUAACAUAUAGUAGAUCUCAAUGGCUAUAAAAUAGUAAUAUGCUAUAUUAUAUAUUUUCUUGUGUAAACAUAUAUUCAACUUGAAUGAAUGAUCCAGUUCUCAAGACAGAAACAGAAUUAUGUGUUAAUAUGACAGGCUUUGGAAGAUUGUAACUGGAAUUUGUCAUUAUUCUAUCCUUAUGACUUGUUGAUAUUUGUAUUAUCUAAAUCAUCACCCCAAAACAUGGUGGCUUAAAAUAAUAAUAAUCACGUAUUUUCCCUCA